UUUGACCUUCCAUUUUAACCCCAACACUGAUGCUUUCUCUUCUUCCGAAAACAUUAAUGAUCCUUCUUCUUCAUCCAAGUUUCCUCCUAAAGUUUUUUCGAAUUCGACUUCCACAUUUUCAUUUCGAAACCGCCACCUUUUAGAAUAUGAUCAAUUUCUUUUGUCAGUUGCAUCGCGUCACUUUCAGCUCCAGUGGCACAAUCAUCCAUAUAUAAAUCAUUCUCAAUUACUUUAGAUGCAUCUGGGAAUUCUUUUUCUGCAUCCCUCGCACACUAUCACUGCCCGAACAGCAUUAAAUGCAGAUGAUGUUAUACCAUAUGUUACGACCUUUAACCAAUAUUCUCUUAUUGGUUCAUCAGUAUUCUCUCUCCAAAAAAUCCGCUGUAGAUGCCAUUGACUUUGGACUACUUGCACUUGCCGGAACAUUUUUUUAAUAUCGCCUCUGACACCAAUUUUAUGUCUGCGAAACUUGAGAACAAUGAGUUAGUUCGUAAACGCAGUAACUUGGUUGCACUGCAUAUUGACAGGGGCAACGCGUUCGUCAAAAAAACAUGCGGCAAUACUGCUCUUCGUCAAAAGUUUUUUAAUGCAUGCAGUUGGCAGCACUUCGGCAAAUUGUCGCAGCCAUUGCAGUAAGUUUUUUGAAACUGCGUAGAACCAAAGGCGAAAUGGAAGAAUCCCACGAAUUUCCAGCAAAUUAUAUAAAAAUUUUAAUACGAACAAGGCUGGACAUGGAGUCGGAGUUCCAGGAAGGAAGGAAAAAAAAUCUUUCCUGUGGGGGAGAAUUCCUGAAAUAAUUAAAGAAAAAGUUCCAGAAUUUAAUUUAUCACGGGAUCAGAUUUCCCGUAAAUUUGUGAAUCUCUUCUGCACAUAUAAAAGAAUUAAAAAGCGAAAUAGUUAACAGGGCGUGCUGCAAGUGCUUGGGAGUUUUUUGAAGAAUUUGACGAUGUGUAUGGAACCAGACAUUCCAUUAGUACGCCUCCUGAGAAUUUGCAUUCGUCUUUGUCACUGCCAAGUACAAGGGAUGCUUCCAAUGUGGUGGAAGAUAUUGGGGUUUCGAAUGACUCUCCAGGAACCUCGAACAACACAACAUCGACACAAUCUCGGCAGAAGGCGUAGGACAACCAGUGCCAAUGAGUCUCUGGAAUUCCUUAAGGAAGAAGCUAAAAAUGAAAAGGAAAGGCACGAUCAGAUUAUAGAGCUUGAACGGGAAAAGAUGCAAAUAGAGCACGAGAGAAUACAAAGAAGAAGAGAUAUGCUUCAAAAGUUUUUAGACAGAUAAGAUGAUAGUAUUUAGUCUUAAAUAUGAAUAUGGCUUUAAAACAGAGUAAUUAGAGUUUUUUUUUAUUUUUACUUACGAAUAAUUUUAAGUUGUUAAGUACACAAAUAAAACAAUGGAUUCCACUCAUAA